AAUCAACGCUGGCGGCGUGCCUCAGACAUGCAAGUCGAACGAGAACCUCCCUUCGGGGAGGGGACAGUGGCGCACGGGUGAGUAACACGUGGGUAAUUUACCUUUGGGUGGGGAACAACAGCCGGAAACGGCUGCUAAUACCGCAUAAUGCAGCGGCUCGACAUCGAGACAGUUGUUAAAGCGGGGAUCGCAAGACCUCGCGCCUGAAGAGAAGCCUGCGGCGGAUUAGCAGUUGGUAGGGUAAUGGCCUACCAAGGCGACGAUCUGUAACCGGCCUGAGAGGGCGGUCGGUCACACUGACACUGACAUACGGGUCAGACUCCUACGGGAGGCAGCAGUCGGGAAUUUUGGGCAAUGGGCGAAAGCCUGACCCAGCAACGCCGCGUGAAGGAUGAAGCUUUUCGGAGUGUAAACUUCAUAAGAAUGGGAAGAAUAAGUGCGGGAUAAUACCCUUCAUGAUGACGGUACCAUUUGUAAGCUCCGGCUAACUCCGUGCCAGCCGCCGCCGUAAC
rnacentral:rRNA from 1 species